CACUCUAGAGAGACUGCCAGGGAUAACCUGGAGGAAGGUGGGGAUGACGUCAAAUCAUCAUGCCCCUUAUGCUUAGGGCUACACACGUGCUACAAUGGGUAGUACAGAGGGUUGCCAAGCCGUAAGGUGGAGCUAAUCCCUUAAAGCUACUCUUAGUUCGGAUUGUAGGCUGAAACUCGCCUACAUGAAGCUGGAGUUACUAGUAAUCGCAGAUCAGAAUGCUGCGGUGAAUGCGUUCCCGGGUCUUGUACACACCGCCCGUCACACCACGGGAGUUGGAG
rnacentral:rRNA from 1 species